UUUUGAUUAAUUUGUAAUUGUUUCGUUGAUAUUUAGGUUUUCGUUUUGGAUUAUACUCGAGAUUGAAAUCAAAACAUCAGUAAUAAUAAAUCGAAAGAAAUUCCAUGACACCAUUGGUUGAUUAAUAUCUUUAAGGUACUUCAUAAAUCAUUUGGUUUUAGGUUUAGCAUCUUCCCAUACGCCGAUUUUUCUGUAGGAAAAGGAUUUAGGAGAGCUGAGUUGAGGGGUUUUACAACCUUUGUUAACAUCACUAAAAGUUGGCUUAUCAAUUAAUUAUGCACGUUUUUUGUAAUUACGCGCAUAAAUAUUAUCACUGGACCGUGGGGUUGAAGAUAAACCAAAGAUUAUUUGGGGAUUAUGAUUUAAUUUAUGGAGCUAUUUGUUGUCUUGGCUGGGACAAAUUCGGAGUCUAUGACAGUUUGAGGUAGUUAUUCUUCUUUUCUUUAUGUAUUUUCUUUUCUGUUUUUCUUUUGAUUUUGUGAGCUUGUUUUAGGGUUGAGACUAGCACUCAGGUAUAUAUUAUUCUACUUUUUAUUUGAUGGUUUAAGACCCAUUGCGGAAGUUGUUAGCGAAAUCAUACACAAAACCACAUGUAGAUCAGCUGAUGUUGAUCGUCUAAAGAUAUAUUAGUUCAUUGUCUGGUCAAAUCUUAAUCAACCAAGUUAAACCUAUAAAUGCAAUUUGUUUUCCAUUUUAGUUUUCAUGUUGAAAUGAUGUGUAAAUUGUGCCUCAAUUACUAUAUGUGGUCAGCUGGCUGGGUAUAUCUAUGUCGACCGAACAAGCAGUUAAAAACUGGUUGCACUAGUUAGAAAAUCACCGAUAGAUGUUGUGGAAACAUCAAAUGACCUUUGCUAUGAGUUAAAGUUUUUUUUUUCAUUUGUAUUAUUUGGUUAUUAUUUUUGAUUUGCUUAUCACCGAUAGAUGUUGUUAGAACAUAAGACAUAACUACGCUUCAACUUAAAUACAAAUGUAUAAUUAUCAGAAGAAAACUGCUGACAUGUUGUUAUACAAUUGUAUACCUUAAGUGCUUUCGUGUCUCUACUGACAUUGGGUCAUCAUCUAUUUUAUAUAAACUACUCGCCAUUAGACAAACCUAUAAUUUGCUAACAACAUGGGUAUACAUCAGGGUCAAGAACCAAGUUGUGUAAUUACAUAUUUUGGCCUAAAGAUUUACUUCCAUGCAAUAAUUGUCAAGUUUCCACUUUUGGGAGGGGUGUUGUUAUUUGGAGUAUGACCAUGUUUGUUUUAUCUUCUACCUGAAACACAACACCA